rnacentral:lncRNA from 1 species
AAGUGAAGACCUGCAAAGGACACCACCAUUGGGAGUCUAUCGGACGUGUCGCACCUAAAGUGGAGACCUGCAAAGGACACGACCAUUGGGCAUGACAACUCGAGCAGUAGCAACUGCUUAGAAGGUUAAUAUUCAUAACAAUGGUCACAUAGAAGCACCACGGUGGAAUGGCUCCAUCUGCAUGUGGAUUUGUAAAAGCGAAAGUAGUGGUCCCCACAAGGGCGGAGCCAGGAUUAUGAUAGAAGAGGGGCCGACCAAUUCAUCAAUACUAUAUGAUAAAAUAAUAUUGUAUAUUGUUAUCAAGUUUAAGCACUCAGCAUGAAAUAAAAAUUCUAGAUCUUUACAAAUUGUCUUAGUGCAUAAGUCCAUUUUCUAGCUAAUUAAUAUAUUGAACUAAAGUUGUGACACAAGAACAAUACUAAAAUAAUAAAGACGAUAUAACGAUGAAUAUCCGACUGAUGAGAUUCAACUUUUAUAUAAUGACUCAAUUCAUGAGGCAGCUAACAAAUUUUUGAGAUAAUUCAAAAAUCCAACUAGCCUCAAUGAUCCAUGAAAAUUCGUCAACCUACUCGAGUAAAUGUCAAAUUUGUUGUACACACCAACUAUCAGGUGACAACUUUAGUUGAAAUUUAUAGAUUUUAUUAUCCACGAGAUCUGAUGUAGUAUGUAUAUAAGUUGCUGCGCUCAUUCUACUACUUCAGUGAUCACCUUCUUUGGACUUUAGUUGUGGGACUAUAAUAAAGACAAGUCAGGUGGUCAGCGCCAAUCGACAGCUGCCUAGCCAAACGAUAGGAUGAAUCAUAAAGGAGGUGCAGUUCGGAUAUCAACAUCUGCAAGUAAAUUAAGUUUGACGUUUUAUGGAUCGAUUGGUCAUUCAACGAAUAUUUCAUCUUAUAUUCUUUGUCUUUUUAGACUUUGGUUGGCAUAUUACAAUAGAGUUAUGGAUCAUUUAUUACCAAUCACUAUAUUAAACUUUAAUUAAUUGCGAUGUACAAAAUUUAGAGUAUAUAUAUUUAGACACACAAAAAUUAGAAUAUAUAUACGUAUACUAAUAUUUGGAAAAUUUUAAAAUAUAACUAUAUUUAAUUAAAUACUUUAAUUAAUAUCUAUUCAGAUAAUUCCCUUUAACGUCUUGUGAUUGUGUUCUUUGGUGGCUUUGGUGCUGAUAGUUUCAAUUGUGCCGAGCAUUUCUCGCUGAUGACUUGGAAAGUUUUAGUCUAGUUUUUUGGCCUGGUCCCCGUCCUGUUAGGGGCGACGCUAUGCUAUCGUCUCUGACAAUGUUUUAGCUUAUCGAGAUUGCGAACAUUAAUGUUUUACCCGAUUUGCUGUGUUAAAGAUGGAUAUGGUUGAUAAAGUAACUGCUGUUGAACUAUUGAAAUGAACAAUAGAGAGAUUCUUUAUUGCUUGAGUAUAUACACAGGAGAGCAGUCUAUGGGACGUGUCCCACCUAAAGUGAAGACCUGCAAAGGACACGACCAUUGGGCAUGACAACUCGAGCAGUAGCAACUGCUUAGAAGUUUAAUAUUCAUAACAAUGGUCACAUAGAAGCACCACGGUGGAAUGGCUCCAUCUGCUCGUGGAUUUGUAAAAGCGAAAG